AACAUGUYUUAGGGAUUAUAAUUUUAAGUYUGAUCUGCUCCAUGAAUUUAUUUAAAUAGCCGCAGUAUUCUGACUGUGUGAAAGUAGCAUAAUCAAUAGUUUUUUAAUUAAAAGCUGGAAUGAAGGAUUUGAUAAGGUAAAUUUUGUCUCAAGUUUAUUAGAGUUAGAAUUUUUUUUUUAGUUAAAAAACUAAGGUGUGUUUAAAAGACGAGAAGACCCUAUAGAAUUUUAUAAUUUAAGUUGAAUUUAUUAUAAAUUUAAUAAUUAAUAGUUUAAUUAAAAAUUAUUAGGUUGGGGAAAUUAUUAAAUUAAAUAAAUUUUAAUUAAGUUUAAACAAUAAUUAUUGAUUAAUUUGAUCUUUAUUUAAAAAUUAAUAGAAUAAAUUACCUUAGGGAUAACAGCGUAAUUUUUUUGGAGAGAUCUUAUUAAUAAAAAAGUUUGCGACCUCGAUGUUGAAUUAAGAUAAAUUUUAAUGAAGUAGUUAAAAAUUUUUGGUCUGUUCGACCAUUAAAAUCUUACAUGAUCUGAGUUCAAACCGGA
rnacentral:rRNA from 1 species